ACGAACGCUGGCGGCAGGCCUAAAACAUGCAAGUCGAACGCUGUAGCAAUACAGAGUGGCGCACGGGUGAGUAACAUGUGGGAAUAUGCCUUUUGGUACGGAACAACUUUUGGAAACGAAAGCUAAUACCGUAUGGUCCCUUCGGGGUAAAGAUUUAUCGCCAAAAGAGUAGCCCGCAUCUGAUUAGCUAGUUGGUGAGGUAAUGGCUCACCAAGGCGACGAUCAGUAGCUGGUCUGAGAGGACGAUCAGCCACACUGGGACUGAGACACGGCCCAGACUCCUACGGGAGGCAGCAGUUAGGAAUAUUGGACAAUGGGCGCAAGCCUGAUCCAGCCAUGCCGCGUGAGUGAUGAAGGCCUUCGGGUUGUAAAGCUCUUUAGUCCACGAAUAUAAUGACUGUAGUGGAAGAAUAAGCCCCGGCUAACUUCGU
rnacentral:rRNA from 1 species